rnacentral:tRNA from 1 species
AGGGAUGUAGCACAGCUUGGUAGCGCAUUUGUUUUAUGUAAAAAAUGUCACAGGUUCAAAUCCUAUCAUCCCUA